rnacentral:rRNA from 1 species
UACGUAGGGUGCAAGCGUUAAUCGGAAUUACUGGGCGUAAAGCGUGCGCAGGCGGUUCUGUAAGUCUGUCGUGAAAUCCCCGGGCUUAACCUGGGAAUUGCAAUGGAUACUGGCAGGCUGGAGUAUGGUAGAGGAAGGUGGAAUUCCCGGUGUAGCAGUGAAAUGCGUAGAGAUCGGGAGGAACACCGGUGGCGAAGGCGGCGACCCGGACGAGUAACUGACGCUGAGACGCGAAAGCGUGGGUAGCAAACAGG